AGGGGCGGAGAGAGCCGGAGAGACGGAAAACGUGGGCUGGGCGACCCCGAGCUGCGGCGCGGGUCCGCAGGGAGGCCCUUUGGCCAGGCUGGGUUCCCGGGCUCCCGUGCGGCACCCAGGGACCCAGGGGAGCCGGGCAGGUGGCGCGUGGCCGGCCCUCUCCCCUGCUUCAGGCCACACGGGCGGUGCUGCGCAGCUGGCAACGUGUCGCCGCAGCGCUUUUACCCCGGCCGCCUGCCUUACAAGGCUCGAAAGUAAAAAUAAAAAGAAUUACGACGCGAGCGAGGCUUCUGAGGGUGAAGAGAGAAGACUCCACUUCUCUCCAACUACUACUGCAGCACUCCCGAGGCGGGUCCAGUCCUCCUCCACCAUGUACCUCUUGCCGGGGACGAAAAAACUGAUCCCCAGCCUAGGUUGCCUUGGCUUCGGAGGGCAGGAGGAUGGCCGCAACCACCAAGGGAGAGGUGAACCCCAAACGCAACGUCAGUGGGUUCUCCCCAGUAGGCUGGGCUAAGGGCCCCCAUCUGGAAGGAAAACAAAUCUCCGUCCUUUACCAUUUUGAGCUUCAUCAACUAAAACGAUAAUCUGCAGCCUCCCACCCCGCGCCCCCCAAUGGCGCAGCCACUUCACCCAGUCUCCAGACACCUCCAGAGAAUGGCCACCCACUGCUCAAGGCUCACCAGCCGGCUGCCUUUGGUGAGGAUGAAAGCAGAGUCCAAUAGGACACCCUGCUGGUGACAUAAAUAAAAAUAGGAUUGUGCACCACUCCCAGGUAGCUAGGCGAGCAGGUCCUACAAAGAGAAGCCCAAAGCCAUCCUCCCACGCCCACCAGAAAAGUGGACAGCUAUCUGUGAACUGGGCUGAAAAACCCAGCUGGACAGGAACUUUUAUCAUAGCCAGACAGGGAGAGAGAGAACAGUGAGAGAAAUACCACGUGCUUCUGAGAAGUUUGUUUCAAA
rnacentral:lncRNA from 1 species